UUACCCCCAAAAAAGAUUGUGAGCUUUAGAGUGGUCGUGGCACCCCGCUGAAUCAAAAUUGGGCUGCGCAGAAAGCACAGGAAUUUGCAUCCCAUGCAUUUCCGGAAUCUCAGCGUUCAUACGGACGGACGGACGCAUAGACGAACAGAAGGACAUGGCUAGAUCGACCAAGAUAAUGAAUAUAUACGAUCAUGGGAUCGGAAACGCUUCCAUCUACCUCUUACAUACUUUCCGAAGAUUUUGGUUACUCCACGAGUAGGGUACAAUUUUUGUCCGUUCCCCCGCAACCCCUCUGCGUUCGCAGGUAAUCCUUAAUUUCUUUACACAAAUUCUGCAGUAGAAGCUGCCACUUCGGUACUGUUUCGAUGGAAUUUCUUGUUUUGAUCACACGCUUUAAUUUCCGCUGCCGCUGUCCGUCCUUCCUUUAGAGGUGGAGAAACAUCGAUGCCAACAUCGAUGUCAUCGAUGUUUUCAAUGUUUUCGAAACAUCGGUAACAUCGAUGUUUUACCAGGCAACAUCGACGUUUUUCCAUCUCUAACGCGCAUCAAGAAGGGAAGACUUGAAAAUUUGUUCUGUUGGUGGUGUUCGCUGAGGUAGUGGAGUGGAGGCAUUGAGAUAUCUGAAACGAACAUUAAAAUCAGAUGAGAAUGUGGAGGAGCAAGCCCCAGCCCCAAAAACGAAGCGGGAAGCUUCUGUUGCCUGGGCGGUGGAAAGGCACACGGAGUUUGCAUAUACUGUGGCAAAACUAUAAAAACGAACGGAAAUACUACGAACCAUUUCGACCAUCUAAAGCACAUGCACCCAGAUCGCCUUAAAGUUGGAAAAGGCCAAAAUGACAAUACAACUGCUUUGGAUGUGUUCGUGAGAAGGUCAACGCUUUAUAGUAACGAUUCUGCCAGGAAACGAAAACUCGACGAAAUGGUGAUGAACAUGAUAGCUGUAGACGUUCAACCAUUCAGCUGUAUUAAGGAUGAAGGUCUCAUUAAUCUUUUAAGAGAAAUGGACUCCACCGCUUACGCCAGACGAAGUGGAUGUCUUAAAUGACUUGUGCGAACUUCUGUCUCCGUUUCAUGAUGCCACCCUAUCAGUUUCAACCAACACAAGCGUAUCAGUUUCUAUUAUCAUACCAGUUAUUUGCGAGCUGUUCCAUAAAAUUUCUGGUCUGGAUGGGAAACUGAAAACAACGGAAGGAGCUGGUAUUUUGGGCUUUAUAAGAACUUGCUUACGUGAGAGAUUAUUGCCAUAUGAGGGUCGAACAAUUCCACGUAUAGCUACCAUUCUUAACCCUCGUUUUAAAAAACACAGUUUUCUUAGCCAAACCAACUCUGAAGAAGCGGUCAAAGCAUUGCAGGAAGAUCCACCACCAACAGAAGAACCUACACGAUUUUCCUUUAAGAAAUCAAAAUUGGAUGUAAAAGUACAAUCAUUCCGGGCCGAUGCAAUUGUCCUGUUGCGUCAACAUAUGGGAAAGGAAAACCAGCCCGAAAAGUGCGAUCCACUUGUAUAUUGGGAAAUGUCUACCGAAGAAACUUUCAAAAAGUUAUCCACAAAGUUUUUUUGCGUUCCCGCUUCAUCGUGCGAAUCAGAACGAGUGUUUAGUAGAGCUGGACAACUUAUAUUCGACCCUCGCACUAGACUUUCAUCUUUCGUUGUUGACAAACUUUUGUUUUUAAACAGAAACCAACACCUAAAUAAAAUUUAAGUAAUUAAAAAAA